rnacentral:rRNA from 1 species
GUGGGGAAUUUUGGACAAUGGGCGCAAGCCUGAUCCAGCAAUGCCGCGUGCAGGAAGAAGGCCUUCGGGUUGUAAACUGCUUUUGUACGGAACGAAAAGGCUCUGGUUAAUACCUGGGGCUCAUGACGGUACCGUAAGAAUAAGCACCGGCUAACUACGUGCCAGGAGCCGCGGUAAUACGUAGGGUGCAAGCGUUAAUCGGAAUUACUGGGCGUAAAGCGUGCGCAGGCGGUUUUGUAAGACAGACGUGAAAUCCCCGGGCUCAACCUGGGAAUGGCGUUUGUGACUGCAAAGCUGGAGUGCGGCAGAGGGGGAUGGAAUUCCGCGUGUAGCAGUGAAAUGCGUAGAUAUGCGGAGGAACACCGAUGGCGAAGGCAAUCCCCUGGGCCUGCACUGACGCUCAUGCACGAAAGCGUGGGGAGCAAACAGGAUUAGAAACCCUAGUAGUCC